rnacentral:rRNA from 1 species
GACGGAGGAGGCUAGCGUUGUUCGGAAUUACUGGGCGUAAAGCGCGCGCGGGCGGUUUUGCAAGUCAGGGGUGAAAGCCCGAGGCUCAACCUCGGAACGGCCUUUGCGACUGCAAGACUGGAGACCGGGAGAGGAGAGUGGAAUUCCCAGUGUAGAGGUGAAAUUCGUAGAUAUUGGGAAGAACACCAGUGGCGAAGGCGGCUCUCUGGCCCGGACCUGACGCUGAGGCGCGAAAGCGUGGGGAGCAAACAGG